rnacentral:lncRNA from 1 species
GGACCAUUAACAUCCUGUUUUGUAAUCUCCACUGGCUUCUUGAUGUGCAGCAAAUCUUAAGUGGAAAUCUGAAAAAUCUACUCUGACGUCUUCAUUUGAUGUUCUGGUUAAUGUUUUAGAGGCUAGUGAUGGAAAUCAGAGUUCUCUUCAGCUGUCUUGCUUAACUAAACAAAAUAUGGAUUACAUUUUGGAAGAAGUUAUGAGGAAGGAGACUCAUUUCAUUUGUCUUGAGAAGUUUAGAAAAUCAAUUUAAGAAGACUGGUGGAAUCAGGUGAACAUUG